CUUGGUCACUAUAACUACUGUAGGCAGACACACUUCAGAAGUGGAUCUUCAUGUGCCUGGCAAUGUCUCUCUUUGUCUUAAAGAGCUUUCCACAAACAUCACACUUGAACUCUCUAAGGCCAUAGUGCCUGAAGACAUGUCGAUCGAGUGCCUGCUUCACACUGAACCUCUUCCCGCACUCUUCACACUCAUGACUUUUUACACCAGUGUGUGUAAGGGUGUGUGUAUCAAGGUGACUCUUCCGGAUGAAUUUUUUCCCACAUUCCUUACAUUCAUAGUUCUUCACACCAGUGUGUGUAAGGGUGUGUGUAUCAAGGUGACCCUUCAGGGUGAAUAGUUUCCCACAUUCCUUACAUUCAUAGUUCUUCACACCAGUGUGUGUAAGGGUGUGUGUAUCAAGGUGACUCUUCCGGAUGAAUUUUUUCCCACAUUCCUUACAUUCAUAGUUCUUCACACCAGUGUGUGUAAGGGUGUGUGUAUCAAGGCUACCCUUCCGGUUGAAUUUUUUUCCACAUUCCUUACAUUCAUAGUUCUUCACACCAGUGUGUGUAAGGGUGUGUG